rnacentral:misc_RNA from 1 species
CUUUUCUCUUGGGCAGAGAAUUGACAUGCUCCAAAUUCCCAUUUUUCAAUAUAUUCUUGUAAUGGAAACUUAGCUAGAAGAAGGGGACCAUAAGCGUAUAUUUCUGCUCUCUCUCAAACAACAUAUCACAAGAGCCACUCCCACCUUCUUCUCUCUUUAUCUCUCUCUAGAGUUCAACCAGUCUUGGUUUUAAGGGGAGAAAAGGAACAAGAAGAAAACAUGCCUAUGGCUCCUAUGAGCUAUAAAUGCAAUAAAAAAGAAGCUGCAAGAGAAGCAUGGACAGCAGAAGAAGACCAAAAGCUGUCUCAAGUCAUUGAAAUUCAAGGUCCAAGGAGAUGGAGAUCAGUUGCUGCCAAAGCAGGUCUGAAUAGAUGUGGAAAGAGUUGUAGACUGAGAUGGAUGAAUUAUCUUAGACCAAAUAUUAAGAGAGGCAACAUAUCAGACCAAGAAGAGGACUUAAUACUCAGGCUUCAUAAAUUACUUGGAAACAGGUGGUCUUUGAUUGCUGGGAGAUUGCCUGGUCGGACUGAUAACGAAAUCAAGAACUACUGGAAUUCUCAUUUGAGCAAAAAAAUUAAACAGGAUCAGAAACAAGUUAAAAACUCAACAUCACAAGAGUCUGAGUCAGAGAAGACUGAACUAGUUAUGCAGAUGGAAAUAGUUGCAAAGGAGAGUGAAGAAGGUAACUACACCAAGAGAGACGAGGACCCCAAAUCCGGCUCUGUUGGAGAUGACUUCUUUGAUUUCUAUAGUGAGGGACCUUUAAAUUUGGAAUGGAUGAGUAAAUUCCUUGAAUCAGAUGAGAGUUGGAUCGACUUGCUUUAAUGUUUUAAUCUUUGAUCUGUUUUCAAUAAGUUCUUGUAAUCCAUGAAUCUUUGCUUUUUGUCGAGUCUUAGAUUAUCUAAUAAAUAUCCCACCUAAACAUUUUUACUCA